rnacentral:sRNA from 1 species
CUUCUGUUAAAUUCUUCCCCCUUGGCCGAGGUUCUGUGAUAUGAGCAACAAUGGACCAGAAGAUUUUAUCUCUAGCAGCAGAAAAAACAGCAGACAAACUGCAAGAAUUUCUUCAAACCCUGAGAGAAGAAUAAGAGUAAGAGCCUGAACUAUACGGGAGAGAAAAAGGAGAAACCUGCUGCCGUUGCCACAGCCAUGGCCAGAGUUCUUCGGGAAACCAAGCCAAUCCCUAA